GCGUUUGUACUAUUCUAACUUGCAUCAGUUAGGAUUACGAGGUUUAGGGAAAUUGAUAUCAAAGAGGUGCCAACUUUUGCAAAAGGAUCAGAUUUCUCAUUAUUCAUUGCACAUGCUGAGAUUAGUAUAAACCUUGUGAGUGUGCUAUUUCACUUUGUUCUCUAUGAUUGAUGAUAUGUUUAAACUUACAGAUUUUCCUCUGCUGAACUUGCUACGAGGACUGGUAUAAUCUAGGUGGUUUUCAAGUAGGAGGUGGGAUCAAUUCAGAUAAUUCUUUGCAAUACAUAGAAGAAGGGGCUAGCCACGUCAUUGUCACUUCUUAUGUAUUUAAUAAUGGGCAAAACCUUGAAAGGCUUAAAGAUCUUGUUCGUGUUGUUGGAAAAGAAAGGCUUGUUUUAGACCUUAGCUGUAGAAAGAGGGAAGGUAAAUAUACAAUUGUCAUAGAUAGAUGGCAAAAGUUCAGUGACGUGUAUCUUGACAAGGAAAUAUUAGACUUCCUUGCCAAGUAUGCAGACGAGUUUCUGGUACAUGGUGUCGAUGUCGAAGGGAAAAAAUCACUAUCUUCUCUUUGAUUUUCCAACACCAGGAAUAUUAUCAUGAAACUCAUAAAGAAGUUAAACCUCAGUUGGCUGCAACGCAUUUAGUUGACGCCCAUAUAUGCAGUGACGUUGCAAAGUACUUGCAUGAACUUCUUACUCAAAGAGAUGAAUUUGACACCAUUGCUUUGUUG